AAGCCACGAGAAUAUAGCACUAUUUACUCAAAUUUUGAAAAUAUAGAAACGAGAGAAUAUGUACAAUAUCUUUUGUUCCUAUAUUAUAUAUCUGCAACUUCUCAAAUCAAACGAUAUAUGUGGGAUUGGUAACAGCUAUAUUCUAUAGAAUAUCUUAAAUACUGGCGUGGAAGAAGGGAAACAUAACAAACCAACUCAUAUAUAUAGAACCAUCGUCUCUCAUUUCCAGAACCAGAAACGACAUCCAUCGAACUUGACACGUUCGAAAAAAUCAUAGAAGCUUCAAGAGGAAAACAAAUCGUUAUGUCUUGAUUAUGGCGGUACUCUUUUUCCAAUCGUCUCUGAUCCAGACAGAGUUCAGCAAGAUGAGAAGAGCGGUGAAAAAACUGCCAAGUGUUAGUUACUGGUAAAUGCAUAGAUAAGGUUUAUAGUUUUGUCAAGCAAGCAGAACUGUAUUAUGCUGGAAGCCAUGUGAUGGAUAUUAAAGAUCCAACAAAAGGAUAGACCAUCUAUUUUUAAUCAACCAACUGGCGAUUUUCUUCCCAUGAUCGAUGAGAGUCUUCAAAAUUUCCGAGUUGUGUAUGUCCAUUCUGCGUGACCAACCUCAUGGUGAAUGCUCUUUAGGAGCUUCCUAAGGUCAUAAAUUAUUUUUUAUUUUUGAAAAAAAAGUCAUAAAUUAUUUCUCUCUACUUAAUUGGACUUGGUUUGCUGACUGUGGAUUAGGAAUUUUGAUCGUUUUAGGUUUACGUUUUCUCAACUGAAUUGUGUAAGAUUUUUGUUUUCUUUUGUGUGGUUAAAGUAGGAGGUGCUUACAGAUUUUUAUGAUAAAUGUUGAUAAUCUAAAGGUUAUGAUGUUUACUGAGCUCAUUGGCAGAGGAUGUAAUGUUCUUUUGUGUAUUGGAUCUAUGACGCCUUUUCUGAUUUGUUGGCCAGUCGUUGAGACUAAAAUAUAAUUAUAAAUUUUUUAAUGAUUUUGAUAUUUGCUGAUCUUAUAAUUUUUUUUAUUUCAUAUAUUAGGCUGAGAGAUAAUAAGACGGAAGGGGAGCGAGGAUUCUCCUAUGGUUGUGGAUCAUAAAAUUACUAAUAAUUCAAAGAAAACUAAUGCAAAAAAAUAAAAUUUUUAAACAUCGAUAAAAGUAUGUCAA